GAUGAACGCUGGCGGCGUGCCUAAUACAUGCCAGUCGAGCGAACAGACGAGGAGCUUGCUCCUCUGACGUUAGCGGCGGACGGGUGAGUAACACGUGGAUAACCUACCUAUAAGACUGGGAUAACUUCGGGAAACCGGAGCUAAUACCGGAUAAUAUAUUGAACCGCAUGGUUCAAUAGUGAAAGACGGUUUUGCUGUCACUUAUAGAUGGAUCCGCGCCGCAUUAGCUAGUUGGUAAGGUAACGGCUUACCAAGGCAACGAUGCGUAGCCGACCUGAGAGGGGGGCCGGCCACACGGGACUGGGAAAGCGUGCCAAACCCCCACGGGGGGCAGGAGGAGGGAAGCUCCCGGAAAGGGCGAAAGCCUAAAGGAGCAACGCGGCGUGAGGGAGGAAGGUCUGCGGGUCGUAAAACUUUGUUUUUAGGGAAAAAAAAAUUGGAAAGAAACUAUGCCGGUUUUGGCGGUCCUUACUAAGAAAGCCCCGGCUAACUAGGG
rnacentral:rRNA from 1 species